GUAUUAUCAAACAGUUCUUUACAAAACUACGCUGUAAAUUCAAGAAUUUGUUUAAGUUACAAAUCCCCUUUACACAUUUUAUUUCGAAAACUCAUUUUCGAAGUGCUAUACCUACGUAACGACGAUGGAAGGUGAUCAUAUUUGUUCCAGUCCUGUCGAGAGCAAAUUAUGGAAGAGUAUCCUGAUGUUAAAACAUACCUACAGGUCGUCCAUUACUAAGAAACGAUGAAGUGGUCGAAGACAACGAAUGGAAGCGAGUCCCAGAAAAUCAAAAUCCGUCAGUUUAGCGCCCAAGCUGGAGUAUGUUAUGCCAACAUGCCAACGAAUUUUGCAUAAAGAUCUACGUAUACAUACACCCGUACCGGGUUUCUGUUCUACAGCAACUGCAC